GCUCCUGUUGCCUAGUGGUCAGAGCAUCCGCCUCGGAUGCGGGAGGUCGCGGGUUCGAAACACAAGUGAGUCCUACCAAAAACU